rnacentral:lncRNA from 1 species
UUGAAGCUCCCUCGAAGGUGAUUUUUCAGAAUUUUCAUCUCUUCGAUUCUCCCUCAAUUCUUCACCAUUCUUUGUGAUUUUUGGUUGGCUGAAGUCCUACCAAUGUAGGCAAGAAGAUUGAGUUACUUUGAGGUUAAAUCGAAGCAACUCAGUUCAUGAUCCUCAAAAUUCAAAUCCCUAUAUCUUUUUAUAUACUUGGAAUUGG